UGUAAGACUCCAGGGCCUUCAAGCUGUGAUUAAUCAGAUGGUUCCUGAAAUGACUAGGAAGACAGACGCUUUGGUGCCCAUCGAAGAGCGUAUGUCUGUGUAUAUCUAAGACCUCCUUUGUACACAUACACAUUGACACCAGAAGACAGGCUCAUUCUUGUGCACACUUGAAGAGUUUUACAACUGAUGAAAAUUAAUUUAAGAAUCAGAUGGAGCAACUUGACACUACUGGGCUCAGGAGCCCGGGGAGAAAAAUAUGUUACUAAUGGUCAGUUUUCCACAUGGUCUUCACGGGUAAAGAAAGUUUGCAAAAAGAAGAAAAAAAAACUUGCACAGUUCAAGCCUCAAAAAUACCUCUGCAGUUUAAAGAAGGAACUAAGUGAGAAGGUGGCCGGGGGAGAAGUGUGGUGUCAGGCAGCGCGGGCGGCAUCAUGCAGUGGGUUUUGCACUUUAUUUUCCAGUGUUUUUGGUGAUUUGGACAGACUUCAAAACUCUGGACUGAGAAGUAACUCUGGCUGUGUAUGACUUCAGGAAAGCAAGGUCAGGAUAAUAUUUUAAAGUAGCAAUUGAAACCAGUAUUUACAAAAUAAGUAUCAAGGAACAUCCAAGUAAAGCUUCCUUUCCUUGGACUGUACAUGUGGCAUUUGGAAGCAUCUCUGAAUGUGAGCAGGAGAGCGCCCAUCAGCACAGCCUGCUGACUCUCUAGGGAAACAGUGCGGAAGAACCCAACUCUUGUCUGUUUUCACGUUAAGGGCUUCUCUUCCCUGUUGAGUCCAAGAAGACUUGCAUGUAGGAGGAAGAGUACUUGAUGUACUUAAUUCUGAAAAUAGUCUUUUCCUUCAAGAUGGAAAAAUAGGUAUCUUUAGGAACAGAAAGGGGAGAAGCCAGUAGGGGAGAGAAGAAGGAGACGGGGCAAAAGAGAUAGAAUCCUGUAGUGAGGCUCCGUUUUGUCAACGAGAGGAUUUAGGAUUCACCCAAUGCAAACACGUGUGCCACUUAAAGAGCUUUAGAACCUUCUGGCUCUGUGAGCGAAGGGGUUUUCUCUCUCCGCCUCUAUGGCACUGAAGAGUGCACCGGUCUGUGGAGGGCCAGUCAGAUGGAGCCCAGCUCUCUGCCAGGACACAGCAACCUGCCUGCUGGGAAGCCAGGCCGGGCCCUGAGGUGGGAAGUUUCUGGUUCAGAACUGUGGGGAGAGUCUUUUUUUCUUUCUGAACUUGGACUGCUGUCUGCACAAACUCUGGUCUGUUUUGCACGGUUUGUGUGCCUUUUUUUCCCUUUAUGCAAUCUUUUUCAGCUUCAGCAGCAGAAAUUUGUCUAGUUGAGAAAACAUGCCAGAGGGUGGCUUCAGAAGGAAGAUGAUCCCACGUGUUCUGUCUCUGCAUCUGAACUUUUGAAGAGAAAUUCCAGCUCGAGGGAUUCUUUAAAGCCUUAAGUUACUUGAAAUCUAUGUAUUUGCAACCCUUUGUCUCUGGAAUCAUAUUACACUAAACUGGAAUCUCAGGCUGAAUGAGAAUAACCAAGUUGAGUAAAAAGAAGAAAACCCCCUUUCUUGAUCAGCACGUGUUAAUGACACUCUUCCUCUAAGGACUUGAAAAUAAAAAUGGACGCAUGUUGUUUUUAAGCAUUACCUUUUCCUAGCAGACUGCCAUCAUCUUUUCUAGAGGAAUUUUUUCACUAUGCAUUUGGUGGCUCUUUAUAAAAUACUGACCUUGUAGUUAGAUUCAGGUCAGUCUUCAUUAAAAGGGGUCGGGGAAAAUAACGCAAGCCAACCACAAAAAUCAAUCAGUUGAUCCAUGAAAAGCAUUGGUUUAAGUUUUUCGGCAUUCAGCAUUACUUUUUAAAUAAAACAAUUCGCUGGAAAAAA